rnacentral:rRNA from 1 species
GCCAGACUCCUACGGGAGGCAGCAGUGGGGAAUAUUGCACAAUGGGGGAAACCCUGAUGCAGCAACGCUGCGUGAGUGAAGAAGUAUUUCGGUAUGUAAAGCUCUAUCAGCAGGGAAGAGAAUGACGGUACCUGACUAAGAAGCCCCGGCUAACUACGUGCCAGCAGCCGCGAUAAUACGUAGGGGGCGAGCGUUAUCCGGAUUUACUGGGUGUAAAGGGAGCGUAGACGGUUCUGCAAGUCUGAAGCGAAAGCCCGUGGCUUAACCGCGGAACGGCUUUGGAAACUGUGGAACUGGAGUGCUGGAGAGGCAAGCGGAAUUCCUAGUGUAGCGGUGAAAUGCGUAGAUAUUAGGAGGAACACCAGUGGCGAAGGCGACUUUCUGGACUGUACCUGACGCUGAGGCGCGAAAGCGUGGGUAGCGAACGGGAUUAGAUACCCGUGUA